rnacentral:antisense_RNA from 1 species
GCAGGCCUGUCCCUUUGCUUUCUUAAAACUGCGCACCGUCUGAGGCCACUUCGAGCCUACUGGAUCCCUGGUUCCGACCCAGUAGGAUCACAGAAGCAGGGCCAGCUGCCAGGAGAAAAAGUUGUUCUCUUCUACCAAAUUUUCCUGCCAUCAAAUGCUCAUCGAGUGACAAUAGAGAAAGCACCAUCAUCCUCAAGCAUCAGAUUGGGAGAAAAGUCCGCUCUCGAGAGCAUCAACUAUGUAGAAAGGGGACCAGCUUCUGCAAAAGACUUGAGACAGCUCACAAUGAAGUACUCUGUAUUAGGCAGGGUAAUAUUGAUUGCAAGUGACAGAAACCCAAUCAGAAACUCACUGGAGUCAUGAGGAACACUUAUUGGCUCAGUAAAGGCAUGGACCUUCAGAGAAAUAAAGUCUGGGAAAUUGACUAGAUCCUCACUGAAAGAACUACUAAAGGAUGUACUUAUGGAAGAAGAAAAUUACAAAGUGAAAGAACUGGGAUGCAAGAAGUAAUGGUGAGCAUGGAAUUUGGCAAAGAUUCAAGUAAAACAAAGCAAGGAGUGAAUAUAUAAAAUCAUAAUCAUAACAAAUUUUGACUAUUAUAUGUAACAGCCAAUCUCUUAACUGG